rnacentral:rRNA from 1 species
AUUGAACGCUGGCGGCAGGCCUAACACAUGCAAGUCGAGCGGCAGCGGGAAAGUAGCUUGCUACUUUUGCCGGCGAGCGGCGGACGGGUGAGUAAUGCCUGGGAAAUUGCCCAGUCGAGGGGGAUAACAGUUGGAAACGACUGCUAAUACCGCAUACGCCCUACGGGGGAAAGCAGGGGACCUUCGGGCCUUGCGCGAUUGGAUAUGCCCAGGUGGGAUUAGCUUGUUGGUGAGGUAAUGGCUCACCAAGGCGACGAUCCCUAGCUGGUCUGAGAGGAUGAUCAGCCACACUGGAACUGAGACACGGUCCAGACUCCUACGGGAGGCAGCAGUGGGGAAUAUUGCACAAUGGGGGAAACCCUGAUGCAGCCAUGCCGCGUGUGUGAAGAAGGCCUUCGGGUAGUAAAGCACUUUCAGCGAGGAGGAAAGGUUGAUACCUAAUACGUAUCAGCUGUGACGUUACUCGCAGAAGAAGCACCGGCUAACUCCGUGCCAGCCGCCGCCGUAAUAC